rnacentral:piRNA from 1 species
UACAAAGAAACAAAAAUACAAUUGCCUGGCA